rnacentral:rRNA from 1 species
UAGGGAAUCUUCCGCAAUGGGCGAAAGCCUGACGGAGCAACGCCGCGUGAGUGAUGAAGGUCUUCGGAUCGUAAAACUCUGUUAUUAGGGAAGAACAAAUGUGUAAGUAACUAUGCACGUCUUGACGGUACCUAAUCAGAAAGCCACGGCUAACUACGUGCCAGCAGCCGCGGUAAUACGUAGGUGGCAAGCGUAAUCCGGAAUUAUUGGGCGUAAAGCGCGCGUAGGCGGUUUUUUAAGUCUGAUGGGAAAGCCCACGGCUCAACCGUGGAAGGUCAUUGGAAACUGGACAACUUAAGUGCAGAAGAGGAAAGUGGAAUUCCAUGUGUAGCGGUGAAAUGCGCAGAGAUAUGGAGGAACACCAGUGGCGAAGGCGACUUUCUGGUCCGUAACUGACGCUGAUGUGCGAAAGCGUGGGGAUCAAACAGG